rnacentral:miRNA from 1 species
AAAAGCCCCAACCAACUUUU